rnacentral:lncRNA from 1 species
UUCCGUUCUUUCCGUUCUUUCCGUUCUUUCCGUUCUUUCCGUUCUUUCCGUUCUUUCCGUUCUUUCCGUUCUUUCCGUUCUUUCCGUUGUUGUUUUUGAACUGUCACCUAAUUUUCUGCCCUAUGUUUCUGUCUCUGUGGAGAUUCUUUCUGUUCUUUCCGUACUUUCCGUUCUUUUAGUUGUUGUUUUUGAACUGUCACCUAAUUUUUUGCCUUAUGUUUCUGUCUCUGUGGAGGUUCUUUCCGUUCUUUCCGUUCUUUCCGUUGUUGUUUUUGAACUCUCACCUAAUUUUCUGCCCUAUGUUUCUGUCUCUGUGGAGGUUCGUUCCAUUCUUUCCGUUCUUUCUGUUAUUGUUUUUGAACUGUCACCUAAUUUUCUGCCCUAUGUUUGUGUCUCUGUGGAGGUUCUUUCCAUUCUUUCCGUUCCUUCCGUUGUUGGUCUUGACCUGUCACCUAAUUUUGUGCCCUAUGUUUCUGUCUCUGUGGAGGUUCUUUCCGUUCUUUACGUUCUUUCUGUUGUUGUUUUUGAACUGUCACCUAAUUUUCUGCCCUAUGUUUCUGUCUCUGUGGAGGUUCUUUCCGUUCUUUCCGUUCUUUCUGUUGUUGUUUUUGAAGUGUCACCUAAUUUUCUGCCCUAUGUUUCUGUCUCUGUGGAGGUACUUUCCGUUCUUUCCGUUCUUUCUGUUGUUGUUUUUGAACUGUCACCUAAUUUUCUGCCCUAAGUUUCUGUCUCUGUGGAGGUUCUUUCCGUUCUUUCCGUUCUUUCCAUUCUUUUUGUUGAUUUUGAACUGUCACCUAAUUUUCUGCCCUAUGUUUCUGUCUCUGUGGAGGUUCUUUCCGUUCUUUCCGUUCUUUCCGUUCUUUCCGUUCUUUCCGUUGUUGUUUUUGAACUGUCACCUAAUUUUCUGCCCUAUGUUUCUGUCUCUGUGGAGGUUCUUUCCGUUCUUUCCGUUCUUUCCGUUGUUGUUUUUGACCUGUCACCUAAUUUUCUGCCCUAUGUUUCUGUCUCUGUGGAGGUUCUUUCCGUUCUUUCCGUUGUUUCCGUUGUUGUUUUUGAAAUGUCACCUAAUUUUCUGCCCUAUGUUUCUGUCUCUGUGGAGGUUCUUUCCGUUCUUUCCGUUCUUUCCGUUGCUGUUUUUGAACUGUCACCUAAUUUUCUGCCCUAUGUUUCUGUCUCUGUGGAGGUUCUUUCCGUUCUUUCCGUUGUUGGUCUUGACCUGUCACCUAAUUAUCUGCUCUAUGCUUCUGUCUCUGUGGAGGUUCUUUCCGUUCUUUCCGUUUUUUCCGUUGUUGUUUUUGAACUGUCACCUAAUUUUCUGCCCUAUGUUUCUGUCUCUGUGGAGGUUCUUUCCGUUCUUUCCGUUCUUUCUGUUGUUGUUUUUGAAGUGUCAACUAAUUUUCUGCCCUAUGUUUCUGUCUCUGUGGAGGUUCUUUCCGUUCUUUCCGUUCUUUCCGUUCUUUCCAUUCUUUCUGCAGUUGUUUUUGAACUGUCACCUAAUUUUCUGCUCUAUGGUUCUGUCUCUCUGGAGUUUCUUUCCGUUCUUACCGUUCUUUCCGUUCUAUCCGUUCUUUCCGUUCUUUCCGUUCUUUCCGUUGUUGUUUUUGAACUGUCACCUAAUUUUCUGCCGUAUGUUUCUGUCUCUGUGGAGGUUCUUUCCGUUCUUUCCGUUCUUUCCGUUCUUUCCGUUCUUUCUGCUGUUGUUUUUGAACUGUCACCUAAUUUUCUGCCCUAUGUUUCUGUCUCUGUGGAGGUUCUUUCCGUUCUUUCCGUUCUUUCCG